rnacentral:rRNA from 1 species
UACGUAGGGCGCGAGCGUUGUCCGGAAUUAUUGGGCGUAAAGAGCUCGUAGGCGGCCUGUUGCGUCCGCUGUGAAAUCCCGGGGCUCAACCCCGGGCUUGCAGUGGAUACGGGCUGGCUAGAGGCAGGCAGGGGAGAACGGAAUUCCCGGUGUAGCGGUGAAAUGCGCAGAUAUCGGGAGGAACACCGGUGGCGAAGGCGGUUCUCUGGGCCUGUACUGACACUGAGGAGCGAAAGCGUGGGGAGCGAACAGG